rnacentral:rRNA from 1 species
GAUGAACGCUGGCGGCGUGCUUAACACAUGCAAGUCGAACGGAAAGGCCCAAGCUUGCUUGGGUACUCGAGUGGCGAACGGGUGAGUAACACGUGGGUGAUCUGCCCUGCACUUCGGGAUAAGCCUGGGAAACUGGGUCUAAUACCGGAUAGGACCACAUUUUGGAUGGUGUGGUGGAAAGUUUUUCGGUGUGGGAUGAGCUCGCGGCCUAUCAGCUUGUUGGUGGGGUAAUGGCCUACCAAGGCGUCGACGGGUAGCCGGCCUGAGAGGGUGUACGGCCACAUUGGGACUGAGAUACGGCCCAGACUCCUACGGGAGGCAGCAGUGGGGAAUAUUGCACAAUGGGCGCAAGCCUGAUGCAGCGACGCCGCGUGGGGGAUGACGGCCUUCGGGUUGUAAACUCCUUUCGCUAGGGACGUAGCGUUAUGUGACGGUACCUGGAGAAGAAGCACCGGCUAACUACGUG